rnacentral:rRNA from 1 species
GAGCGGCGGAUGGGUGAGUAACACGUGGGGAACCUGCCCCAUAGUCUGGGAUACCACUUGGAAACAGGUGCUAAUACCGGAUAAUAAAGCAGAUCGCAUGAUCAGCUUAUAAAAGGCGGCGUAAGCUGUCGCUAUGGGAUGGCCCCGCGGUGCAUUAGCUAGUUGGUAAGGUAACGGCUUACCAAGGCAAUGAUGCAUAGCCGAGUUGAGAGACUGAACGGCCACAUUGGGACUGAGACACGGCCCAAACUCCUACGGGAGGCAGCAGUAGGGAAUCUUCCACAAUGGACGCAAGUCUGAUGGAGCAACGCCGCGUGAGUGAAGAAGGUUUUCGGAUCGUAAAGCUCUGUUGUUGGUGAAGAAGGAUAGAGGCAGUAACUGGCCUUUAUUUGACGGUAAUCAACCAGAAAGUCACGGCUAACUACGUGCCAGCAGCCGCGGUAAUACGUAGGUGGCAAGCGUUGUCCGGAUUUAUUGGGCGUAAAGCGAGCGCAGGCGGAAGAAUAAGUCUGAUGUGAAAGCCCUCGGCUUAACCGAGGAAUUGCAUCGGAAACUGUUUUUCUUGAGUGCAGAAGAGGAGAGUGGAACUCCAUGUGUAGCGGUGGAAUGCGUAGAUAUAUGGAAGAACACCAGUGGCGAAGGCGGCUCUCUGGUCUGCAACUGACGCUGAGGCUCGAAAGCAUGGGUAGCGAACAGGAUUAGAUACCCUGGUAGUCCAUGCCGUAAACGAUGAGUGCUAAGUGUUGGGAGGUUUCCGCCUCUCAGUGCUGCAGCUAACGCAUUAAGCACUCCGCCUGGGGAGUACGACCGCAAGGUUGAAACUCAAAGGAAUUGACGGGGGCCCGCACAAGCGGUGGAGCAUGUGGUUUAAUUCGAAGCAACGCGAAGAACCUUACCAGGUCUUGACAUCUAGUGCCAUCCUAAGAGAUUAGGAGUUCCCUUCGGGGACGCUAAGACAGGUGGUGCAUGGCUGUCGUCAGCUCGUGUCGUGAGAUGUUGGGUUAAGUCCCGCAACGAGCGCAACCCUUAUUAUUAGUUGCCAGCAUUAAGUUGGGCACUCUAAUGAGACUGCCGGUGACAAACCGGAGGAAGGUGGGGAUGACGUCAAGUCAUCAUGCCCCUUAUGACCUGGGCUACACACGUGCUACAAUGGGCAGUACAACGAGAAGCGAGCCUGCGAAGGCAAGCGAAUCUCUGAAAGCUGUUCUCAGUUCGGACUGCAGUCUGCAACUCGACUGCACGAAGCUGGAAUCGCUAGUAAUCGCGGAUCAGAACGCCGCGGUGAAUACGUUCCCGGGCCUUGUACACACCGCCCGUCACACCAUGGAAGUCUGCAAUGCCCAAAGCCGGUGGCCUAACCUUCGGGAAGGAGCCGUCUAAGGCA